rnacentral:rRNA from 1 species
UAACGCGAAGAACCUUACCAAGGCUUGACAUGAACCGGAAACACCUGGAAACAGGUGCCCCGCUUGCGGUCGGUUUACAGGUGGUGCAUGGUUGUCGUCAGCUCGUGUCGUGAGAUGUUGGGUUAAGUCCCGCAACGAGCGCAACCCUCGUUCUAUGUUGCCAGCGCGUUAUGGCGGGGACUCAUAGGAGACUGCCGGGGUCAACUCGGAGGAAGGUGGGGACGACGUCAAAUCAUCAUGCCCCUUAUGUCUUGGGCUUCACGCAUGCUACAAUGGCCGGUACAAAGGGUUGCGAUACUGUGAGGUGGAGCUAAUCCCAAAAAGCCGGUCUCAGUUCGGAUUGGGGUCUGCAACUCGACCCCAUGAAGUCGGAGUCGCUAGUAAUCGCAGAUCAGCAACGCUGCGGUGAAUACGUUCCCGGGUCUUGUACACACCGA